GAGGGUAGAGCUCAGUGGUAGAGCACAUGCUUAGCAUGCACAAGAUCCUGGGUUCAACCCCCAGUAUCUCCA
rnacentral:tRNA from 1 species